rnacentral:rRNA from 1 species
GAUGAACGCUGGCGGCGUGCCUAAUACAUGCAAGUCGAGCGAACGGACGAGAAGCUUGCUUUUCUGAUGUUAGCGGCGGACGGGUGAGUAACACGUGGAUAACCUACCUAUAAGACUGGGAUAAGUUCGGGAAACCGGAGCUAGUACCGGAUAAUAUUUUGAACCGCAUGGUUCAAAAGUGAAAGACGGUCUUGCUGUCACUUAUAGAUGGAUCCGCGCUGCAUUAGCUAGUUGGUAAGGUAACGGUUUACCAGGGCAACGAUGCAUAGCCGACCUGAGAGGGUGAUCGGCCACACUGGAACUGAGACACGGUCCAGACUCCUACGGGAGGCAGCAGUAGGGAAUCUUACGCAAUGGGCGAAAGCCUGACGGAGCAACGCCGCGUGAGUGAUGAAGGUCUUCGGAUCGUAAAACUCUGUUAUUAGGGAAGAACAUAUGUGUAAGUAACUGUGCACAUCUUGACGGUACCUAAUCAGAAAGCCACGGCUAACUACGUG